AGGGAAUAUUGGACAAUGGGGGCAACCCUGAUCCAGCCAUGCCGCGUGAAGGAAUAAGGCCCUAUGGGUUGUAAACUUCUUUUAGACGGGACAAAACCCCUUUACGUGUAAAGGGUUGAUGGUACUGUCAGAAUAAGCAUCGGCUAACUUCGUGCCAGCAGCCGCGGUAAUACGAAGGAUGCAAGCGUUAUCCGGAAUUAUUGGGUUUAAAGGGUGCGUAGGCGGACUAAUAAGUCAGUGGUGAAAGCCUGCAGCUUAACUGCAGAAUUGCCAUUGAUACUGUUAGUCUUGAGUACAGUUGAGGUAGGCGGAAUGUGUCAUGUAGCGGUGAAAUGCUUAGAUAUGACACAGAACACCGAUUGCGAAGGCAGCUUGCUAAGCUGUAACUGACGCUGAGGCACGAAAGCGUGGGGAGCAAACA
rnacentral:rRNA from 1 species